rnacentral:rRNA from 1 species
GACGAACCGUGCGAACGUUGUUCGGAAUCACUGGGCUUAAAGGGCGCGUAGGCGGCCAGCACAAGUCAGUUGUGAAAUCUCCGGGCUUAACUCGGAAAGGUCAACUGAUACUGUGCGGCUAGAGUGCAGAAGGGGCAACUGGAAUUCUCGGUGUAGCGGUGAAAUGCGUAGAUAUCGAGAGGAACACCUGCGGCGAAGGCGGGUUGCUGGGCUGACACUGACGCUGAUGCGCGAAAGCCAGGGGAGCGAACGGG